UACGGAGGAGGCAAGCGUUAUCCGGAAUUAUUGGGCGUAAAGGGUCCGCAGGUGGCCCGGUCAGUCCGCUGUCAAAGCCUGGGGCUCAACCCUGGAGAGGCGGCGGAGACCACCGGGCUUGAGUCCGGUAGGGGCAGAGGGAAUUCCCGGUGGAGCGGUGAAAUGCGUAGAGAUGCGGAGGAACACCGAUGGCGAAGGCAGCCCCCUGGGCCGACAUUGACGCUCAGGCACGAAAGCGUGGGGAGCAAACAGG
rnacentral:rRNA from 1 species